rnacentral:rRNA from 1 species
GCAGGCCUAACACAUGCAAGUCGAGCGCACCUUCGGGUGAGCGGCGGACGGGUUAGUAACGCGUGGGAACAUACCCUUCUCUACGGAAUAGCCUCGGGAAACUGAGAGUAAUACCGUAUACGCCCUUCGGGGGAAAGAUUUAUCGGAGAUGGAUUGGCCCGCGUUAGAUUAGAUAGUUGGUGGGGUAAUGGCCUACCAAGUCUACGAUCUAUAGCUGGUUUUAGAGGAUGAUCAGCAACACUGGGACUGAGACACGGCCCAGACUCCUACGGGAGGCAGCAGUGGGGAAUCUUAGACAAUGGGCGAAAGCCUGAUCUAGCCAUGCCGCGUGAGUGAUGAAGGCCUUAGGGUCGUAAAGCUCUUUCGCUGGGGAAGAUAAUGACUGUACCCAGUAAAGAAACCCCGGCUAACUCCGUGCCAGCAGCCGCGGUAAUACGGAGGGGGUUAGCGUUGUUCGGAAUUACUGGGCGUAAAGCGCGCGUAGGCGGAUUAGAAAGUUAGGGGUGAAAUCCCGGGGCUCAACCUCGGAACUGCCUCUAAAACUACUAGUCUAGAGUUCGAGAGAGGUGAGUGGAAUUCCGAGUGUAGAGGUGAAAUUCGUAGAUAUUCGGAGGAACACCAGUGGCGAAGGCGGCUCACUGGCUCGAUACUGACGCUGAGGUGCGAAAGUGUGGGGAGCAAACAGGAUUAGAUACCCUGGUAGUCCACACCGUAAACGAUGAAUGCCAGACGUCAGCAAGCAUGCUUGUUGGUGUCACACCUAACGGAUAAGCAUCCGC